GAUGAACGCUGGCGGCGUGCCUAAUACAUGCAAGUCGAGCGAACGGAGGAGAAGCUUGCAUCUCUGAUGUUAGGGGCGGAUGGGUGAGUAACACGUGGAUAACCUACCUAUAAGACUGGGAUAACGUCGGGAAACCGGAGCUAAGACCGGAGAAUAUGUUGAACCGCAUGGUUCAAAAGUGAAAGACGGUCUUGCUGACACUUAUAGAUGGAUCCGCGCUGCAUUAGCUAGUUGGUAAGGUAACGGCUUACCAAGGCAACGAUGCAUAGCCGCCCUGAGAGAGAGAGCGGCCACACUGGAGCUGAGACACGGUCCAGACUCCUACGGGAGGCAGCCGUAGCGACUCCUCCGCGAUGGACGAGAGCCUGAUGGAGCAACGCCGCGUGAGUGAUGAAGGUCUUCGGAUCGUAAAACGCUGUUAUUAGGGAAGAACAUAUGUGUCAGUAACUGUGCACAUCUUGACGGUACCUGAUCAGAAAGCCACGGCUAACUACGUG
rnacentral:rRNA from 1 species